rnacentral:rRNA from 1 species
UACGUAGGGUCCGAGCGUUGUCCGGAAUUACUGGGCGUAAAGAGCUCGUAGGUGGUUUGUCGCGUUGUUCGUGAAAACUCACAGCUUAACUGUGGGCGUGCGGGCGAUACGGGCAGACUUGAGUACUGCAGGGGAGACUGGAAUUCCUGGUGUAGCGGUGGAAUGCGCAGAUAUCAGGAGGAACACCGGUGGCGAAGGCGGGUCUCUGGGCAAUUCCUGACGCUGAGGCGCGAAAGCGUGGGGAGCAAACGGG